rnacentral:misc_RNA from 1 species
CACCACUCGAGUCUGACUCGGUAUUGGGGGCCGCGACCCGUCGCGCCCCUUGAAGUCUCCGGCUGGGCGGUCCGUCUCCGAGCGUUGUGGCAUCUCGUCUCGCUAGGGAGGUACGGGCGGCGUCGGCCGUUAAACACCCCAUCAAA